GUAAUAUGUGUGGGUCCAAAGUCUUCGUGUUUGUAGUGGGAAGCAGACAAUCUAGCCUACAGUGUCUAUACGUAUCUGGCAGAAUGCUGCAUUACAGCCAGCUUCCAUGAGAACUGCAUGAUAUUGGAAGCCUGGGGGACGAGUACAGAGGAGCCUUUAUAUUGACUUAUUACUUUCAGACAGUCUUCGUAAACAAGGGAGUGAUCUUCACAGAGGGAGCUACUCUGGCAUUUGGACAUCUGUGAAAUGAAGGAAACACAGGGCAAAAACAGGCUGGUCCUAUUAAAUUGUGAGCAAAUAGAUACUACCUGGAUUCUUCGCAAUCUUUCGGGCUUUUCUAGUUAAUAGGAUUUAUACUUCCUUCUUUGUAAGAUUUGUGUUUCUCUUAUGGUAAAAUAUACCAUAGUUCAGCACUGUGAGAUCUGGGAUGAUGUCUUACUGCAGCAAUGAAUCUAUGCACAUGACUGUGAGAAGAGAAACAUAAAGUAGAGCAAACUAAUUGAUUUUGAGACCUUGAUAGAAUUUUACGUAUCAACUUCAAUCUGUGCCUAUUUGACAAUAGCAUUUGCCUUUACCAUUUCAUGAAUGUGCUUCAUCCUGUUGGCAUUUAAAGUGAUUUAAAUGACAACAACUACAUGGACAGAUUUUUGAAUCUCAGGCUCCCUGUGGCUUUUUCAAUGCCUGUUUGCU